UACCAAAUGAAUAAGCACCGGCUAACUCCGUGCCAGCAGCCGCGGUAAUACGGAGGGUGCAAGCGUUAUCCGGAAUCAUUGGGUUUAAAGGGUCCGCAGGCGGGCAUAUAAGUCAGUGGUGAAAGCCUACAGCUCAACUGUAGAACUGCCAUUGAUACUGUAAGUCUUGAAUUCGGUCGAAGUGGGCGGAAUGUGUAGUGUAGCGGUGAAAUGCAUAGAUAUUACACAGAACACCGAUAGCGAAGGCAGCUCACUAGGCCUGGAUUGACGCUCAGGGACGAAAGCGUGGGGAUCAAACAGGAUUAGAUACCCUGGUAGU
rnacentral:rRNA from 1 species